rnacentral:rRNA from 1 species
GACGAACGCUGGCGGCGUGCUUAACACAUGCAAGUCGAACGGUAAGGCCCUUCGGGGUACACGAGUGGCGAACGGGUGAGUAACACGUGGGUGAUCUGCCCUGCACUUCGGGGUAAGCCUGGGAAACUGGGUCUAAUACCGGAUAGGACCACUGCCUGCAUGGGUGGUGGUGGAAAGCUUUUGCGGUGUGGGAUGGGCCCGCGGCCUAUCAGCUUGUUGGUGGGGUGAUGGCCUACCAAGGCGACGACGGGUAGCCGGCCGGGGCGGGUGACCGGCCACACUGGGACUGAGAUACGGCCCAGACUCCUACGGGAGGCAGCAGUGGGGAAUAUUGCACAAUGGGCGCAAGCCUGAUGCAGCGACGCCGCGUGAGGGAUGACGGCCUUCGGGUUGUAAACCUCUUUCAGCACCGACGAAGCGCAAGUGACGGUAGGUGCAGAAGAAGGACCGGCCAACUACGUGCCAGCAGCCGCCGCGG